rnacentral:rRNA from 1 species
AUGGGUGGUGGUUUAUCGCUCGUUGAGCUGACGGUGUACCAUAUAACUGGAAUUAACCCAUGCAAGUCGAAGAAGGAUUGGCCGGUGCUGCCGGCUGGCGUCAAGUUCGAUCCCACGGAUCAGGAGCUGAUCGAGCACCUUGAGGCCAAAGUGAGUGCUGACAGCGCGAGAUCUCACCCUCUCAUCGAUUUGUUCAUACCAACCAUCGACAGCGAGCACAGCAUAUGCUACACCCAUCCUGAGAAACUUCCAGGUAUCACACUGAGUGGCCUAAGCAAGCAUUUCUUCCAGCGCAAUUCUAGGGCGUUCAAAAAGGGCACGUGGAUGCGUCGCAAGAUACAGUCGGAGUGCGACAUGCAUGCGAUGUGGCACAACACCGGCAAUACCUUGCCGGUGAUGGUCAACGGCCGGCAGACGGGCAGCAAAAAGGUUCUGGUGCUGCACACCAACAAGAACUUCGACCAGCAGACGACCAACUGGGUGAUGCACCAGACUUAG